rnacentral:rRNA from 1 species
GAUGAACGCUGGCGGCGUGCCUAAUACAUGCAAGUCGAGCGAACAGAUAAGGAGCUUGCUCCUUUGACGUUAGUGGCGGACGGGUGAGUAACACGUGGGUAACCUACCUAUAAGACUGGGAUAACUUCGUGAAACCGGAGCUAAUACCGGAUAACAUUUGGAACCGCAUGGUUCUAAAGUGAAAGAUGGUUUUGCUAUCACUUAUAGAUGGACCCGCGCCGUAUUAGCUUGUUGGUAAGGUAACGGCUUACCAAGGCGACGAUACGUAGCCGACCUGAGAGGGUGAUCGGCCACACUGGAACUGAGACACGGUCCAGACUCCUACGGGAGGCAGCAGUAGGGAAUCUUCCGCAAUGGGCGAAAGCCUGACGGAGCAACGCCGCGUGAGUGAUGAAGGGUUUCGGCUCGUAAAACUCUGUUAUUAGGGAAGAACAAACGUGUAAGUAACUGUGCACGUCUUGACGGUACCUAAUCAGAAAGCCACGGCUAACUACGUGCCAGCCGCCGCAGUAA